AUGCCAGGUGAAGGCAACGCGGGCAGCCCCAGCCCCUCACACUUGCAUGCAGACUGGCUGCCAUAUCCCUGUGCCAGCUGUCCCCUACCUGGCCUCUGCCUCUUGCAUAUGAUGCAGGGACUGGCCCAGAGUCCAUCACAGCAUGGGUCAGGACUGCCUGUAACCUGUCUGGUUCAGCUGAGGCAGUAUUUUUUGGCUGCUUCCAGCCUGCUGGAGAAGCAACCUGGUCAGAGAGAAGCAGCACUACAGCAGAGUCUAAGUGAAGGAGCACCAGCUCAUCUGGUUCCAGCACAUGCUGUUGCACUGAAGAUGGCUUCUCUGCCUUCUUAGGCAGAUCCUGCUUUUGAGACACAGGAGCAUCCCAACUGACAUGUUGUCAGUGUCUGCUUAGCAGAAGGAAGAAACAUUUCUUUCUUGAGAGGAAGCUACUGUCAAGCUCCGUGUUCACUGCCAUUCGAAGCUGAUGAGGUGCAUUCAAAUACACAAUGGGAACUGUUCUGCCUGAGUGGCAGAGCUGGCCAUAGAUGAUGGCUGUCAACUUCCCAGCAGGAUCCUGCUUUGGGCCCUUGGAAGUAAGGCAAGGGCAGUGGACUCCCAUUCAUUCUCUGAGACACAACUAGAGGUAGCAGCUGUUCAGCCUCUCCCUUGCUCAGUAGGACUGUAAGAGGUCAUCCUCAUCCUCUGCUGCUAAGACAGGAGAAUGAGGGACAGGAAUUGAGUGAAUAACAUAAUUACUUGCAUUCAUCCAAGACACUGUGAUUCCAUCAGUAGUGCAAAACUAACUCAUGAAUGCAUUGGACUGUCUCAUUUUCUCCAGGUGGUGAUAUUUCUGUGGCUUUUGUUUCUUAAGUCAUACAAAUUUGGACUCUUUUCUAAAAUCCCUUCUUUCUGUUGCAGGGAAGCAGUGCUAGGUGAAGCUGGCUGUGGAAGGAGAAGCGAAAACCCUAGAACUCCCUCCACUAGAAAAAGCUGAGAAAUUAAUGAGAAUUACCAUAGGAACUGAUAUCAGCACUGUUGGCAGCUGUGCAGCAUUGAAGAGUGCACACAGGAUUCAGAUAUGUUGGCAGAAGCAAGAACCAACAAUGCUGCCACUCAGCAAUUUGUUGAAGAUACUGUCACCACCAGUAAACCCCAACUUCACAGAGGAGUGCCGCAGAUGAUGUGUUUUCCAGUCCUGUUGCCCAAAUAAACAUGCCAAAACCAAAGAGAAUGUUGGUCAUCACAUUCCUUGCUCGGCCUUUUUAAUAACUGUAGAUGUAGCAAGACUUAAUUUUCUGCACUGAUUUUUUGAUCUUUUCUGGAUUUUUUUAUGGCAGAGCUCUCUUUAUUGAUGAGCAUACGCCAUUGAAGAAGAUCUGUAAUUUUAUGGCAUUUCUCAUUCAUUAAAAUUGAAAGGUGUCCUAGUUGGUCUCUGAUGGAACCUGAUUUAUGGGCCACCUUAAGAUGAAGCCCCACAGCCUGGAGUGCCCCUAAGAUAGCUUGUACUCCUUUGAAGCAUAAGCAUGUAAGGCACAGAUUAAGCAAAGUAGGCUGCUGGAUUUGGGGAUGGUUUAGGCAGCCCAGUAGGGCUGUUCCUACAGCACAGGGAUUGCCAGGCAUGCUUCUCCAUCUUCCUGGUAUGUUGAGUGAGCCUCUGCACAAAGAGACCAGAUUGUGAGGGAACUCUGGAGAUCAUCUAGUCCACCUUCCUGCUAAAGCAGGUUCCGUACAGCAGGUGGCAGAGGAAAGCAUCCAGGUGGGUUUUGAGUAUCUCCAGAGAAGACUCCACAGCCUCUCUGGCAGCCUGUUCCAGUCAUUUGUCCUUUGUACUGCUCUUCCACUGACCUCCAUUCCCUUUCCUGGCUUUGGGCAUCUAUUGCUGGUGCUGACAUCAGGAGUAUGGGAUUACUGUAUUUCUCUCCACCCAAAAUGCUCAAGUCUAAAUCACAUGCUGCCAGGAGCUCUGAACAUGUGCAGGAAGCAGAAUAGUGCUGUCAUCUUUUACUUUCCAUUCUGCACAUUCUACCAGAGUAAAGGAAUCCUUGGAGACGAAGGCUGCCCAAGACAAAUGCAAUGUAAAAGACAUUUUGACGAUUACAGAAAGUGCUCGGCACAGCAUCAAGACAUUCUCUCCAAAUCAACCCCUCCGGCAGAUUGUUGUUUGUAUUCUAUUGCUAAUUUAUUUUAGAAACUUUCCAAAAAAAUCAUUUCCUUUGACAAAGAAAUAAGUAAGAUAAACUUAUAUCUAGCAAAUAUUCUACAGGUCACCUAUAGCCUCUUUGGGCAGCAUACAGGCACUGUGGUGGUGUAUGUGGUGCUAUAUAAUCAAUUAAAGGACUGUAUUCUCAGGAAUAUAAUAAAUAAGAACUAGGUUGUAUUGUAUAGGAAAAUGCUAAAUUAAAUGUUUGAUCACUAGGAUAAGCAAAAGAAAGCAAAUGUUGUAAUACAGUGCCAAAAUCCCAGCAAAACUGACUCGGUCUUGCUAGCUUUUACCCAAUGGCUCAGUAAAGGAAAAGUUUCUGUUCCUAAGGAAAAGGAGUACUUUGAUUUCCUCAGCUAUCUGAAUGAUAUUUGAAGCCACACCAGUUAGGACAGAUUCUCAUCUGCAGAACAUGGCAUUUUCUAAGGUUGGCUGCUUAUCAGCCUCUCCCAUGGCACAGUUCCAUGUUGUUAAAAUAUCUUUGGGAAACCAAGUAAGAAUGAUUGCAGUUGCUUACCUGCGAGGCCUGGCUGCUCACCUGGAAACAGGGAUAACUAAAUUUCUUCCUUGCUCCACUGAAUGCCCAAUAACUCAAGGUCAAGUGCCAUCAGCAGAAGGUUUAAGAGCUUUUCCCAUGCUCUGUUUUGUAACAUGGAUGGCAGAUUAUGCUCCAGAGGCAUAGAAUAUUCAGUUUAAAACCCAGAAGCUAAAAGUAGCUUCCCCACUUCUUGAGGAAGAGUUGUAGCCAGCUGGCCACCAGGUCAGGGGUUGGCUGAUCCUAUCCACACGUUUUUUACCUCAUCUCCUCAUUCUACCCCCAGUCUUGGCUCCAGACAGGACAGAAUAAAAUUGGCAUUGGUUUGGGGGGAAAAAAAUACCAGUAUUUUUGCAUUGCUAACCAUUUUCUCAGAAAAUAUUACUCAAAUCUAAGAAUAAUAAUUCCUAUAGUAUCAAUAUUCACUGCGAAAAGCUCAAAGAGAAAGCUCCCCAGGCUGCAAAUGUGAACAUUAAAAUCAUUGCUGGAAGGGUUCUUUCCUCCAUUUCUUUGAAACUGUUUGUGCUCUCACUGAUAUGAAUGUGAAUGCUUACCCUUAUGUUUGUAACCAGUCUGGCCUACCUGCUGUCAUCUACAAAAGUCUGCUCUGCAUCUUGCUGAGUGUGUGACAGUUGAAAGUAAGCAAUACCGUUAGCUAUGUGCCUAUGCACUUCAGCCCUUUAUGGUUAGUACAUGGCUAGAUUAUACAAAGCAAAGUGUGUAUUGUGUUGAAAAAUAUGACUUUUCAAAGGAUAACUAUGAAGACAGUGUGCACCAGAAUGCAUUUUUCUCCAAGCACUUUACCUAAUCAGCAAGGUCUGUAUGUAUACAUAUAUAUGUCUAGAUUUCUAGAUUCAGGCUGGAUGUCAGGAAAAGGUCCUUCACCAGAGUCUGGUCAGGCACUGCCCGAGGGCAGUGGCAGUGGCACUGAGAUGCCAGAAUUCACAGAGUAUCUGGACAACUCUUUAUCAGUCAUCUGGUCUGAUUUUUGGGUGGACCUGAGGACACAAAACAGCCUCAAUGAUCUUUAGGGUCUCUUCCAACUUAGGAUGUUCUAUAAUUCUAUGAUAAGUGUACAUAUAUAUAUCUACUUCUAUCAGAAGAGGGUUUUUUCCCUGAUUUCUCACUGUUCAAAGCUUAUCUAACAUUUCUGCCUAACCUUCAGACACACGUUGCCUUCCAGAAGGGACCCAAACUGGAACUUUCAAUGCAAGUCAAGAAAAUGUUCUAAAAGUGCAGUUAGAAUUGAAUUAGCUAUAGCUGGAAAUAUCUUUGGAGUAGAUGAUCUUCUAAUGCUGAGACUGAAUAUUUUUGAACAGUGCUUUAAAAUCACUGAGUAAAUUGCUGAUGAGCUUCAUAUCCUUCAACAGCAAUUGUCAUUUCUGACAUAAUAAUUUAAUUUCUUUCUUAUACUUUGUGAGUUUUAGGUAUCAUGUUUUAAAAUAGUUGCCAGUUGCCAAUAGUUGCUUACUUACACUGUAAUGUUUUCAAUGCUUACGAAAACGACGAUCAGUUAGUUUUAAGCACUGGCCUUGUUCACUCAACUUGAGCUUACACAGAAAGUAUCGAAAGUGUUUUCAGGUAAGUGACUAUGAUGGAAAACUGUCCCAGUGCAGAUGUUUGGCUUCUCUUAGAAAGAAAUACUAAACAAAAACCUUGAAACUGCUACUAUUAUAUAAAUCAUUUAUCUUACUAAAUUUAAUAGAUUUAAAUUUAAGAUAUUUAAUAUCUUAUCAAAAUGUUCAUCUAAGGUAUCAAGGCAGAAAUUCAAAUUGUAGAUUUAAUGCUGCGAUAAGAUUUCCUGAAGUGAG
ensembl:lncRNA